UACAGAGGUCUCAAGCGUUGUUCGGAUUCAUUGGGCGUAAAGGGUGCGUAGGCGGCGCGGUAAGUCGGGUGUGAAAUCUCGGAGCUUAACUCCGAAACUGCAUUCGAUACUGCCGUGCUUGAGGACUGGAGAGGAGACUGGAAUUUACGGUGUAGCGGUGAAAUGCGUAGAUAUCUGGAGGAACACCGGUGGCGAAGGCGGGUUGCUGGGCUGACACUGACGCUGAAGCGCGAAAGCUAGGGGAGCGAACGGG
rnacentral:rRNA from 1 species